GGAAUAAUAACCGGUGUUAUUACGUCUCCACGCUUCGAACAAAUUUCUCCGGAGCGAUACAAGAAUGUUCAAGCCGUGAUUCAAGCCUGCUGGAAAUCAAUUCAAGGGAUGAAGCGAGCUUUGUAUCCAACAAUCUUGUGUACAAGAACCUUGAGUACUGGAUUGGAAAAUGCGAAGACGGGAACGUGAGCUCCGGUCUCCUGUACAAGGGGACAACUGGAACGCCCCCUUGCAGACUGUGUGAUCCGACUGCAGUCAGACCGAUUUACCCUUGCGAUCUUGAUCAGCCUUUCAUCUGCGAGAAAUCGGUACAUUUGUGCCCGCAAAUUCCUGAAAAGAUCCAGGGUCUCUGUCAACAGCCAGUGGAGGCGACGUGAAUAAAAUGACUAUCCCCAGUCUCCCCUUCACUCCUUCCAGAUUCCCUGCCCACCCUCUCUGCCCUUCCGUGCUCCACCAAUUCCACCUCUUAUCGCAAACAUAUUGUCUCCACCAGACACUAACAAGCCUCUCUUGCUGUCUGUCCCCUUCUUUCCCUCCAUUCCCCGGUCCCGCUUUUCCUGCUCCCUCUACCUCCCUCUUUCACCUCUCUCCACGUCCAUCCGCUUCUUUCACUCCAUUCCCACGCCCCGCUCUUUCUGCUUCCUCUACCUUAUUAUUACCUCAUACUUCCUCCUCCCGUUUCUUCUGCUCCCUCUACCCACCUCAUUCAUCUCUCUCCCCGUCCAUCCUCUUUCCCUCCAUUCCCCCGUCCCGCUCUGUCUGCUCCCUCUCCCCACUUCUUUCACCUCUCUCCCCUCCAUCCCAUUCUUUCCCUCCAUUCCUCCGUCCCGCUCUUUCUGCACCCUCUACCAAUCUUAUUAUUUCCUGCGUAAUUCCUCCGCCCGCUUUCUUCUGCUCCCACUACCCGCCUCUUUCACCUCUCUCCCCGUCCAUCCCCUUCUAUCCCUCAAUUCCCCCGUCCCGCUCUUUCUGCUCCCUCUACCCACCUCUUUCACCUCUCUCGCCGUCCAUCCCCUUCUUUCCCUCCAUUCCCCCUCCCGCUCUUUCUGCUCCCUCUAACUACCUUAUUAUUACCUCGUAAUUCCACCCCUCUAUUUCCACAUUCUCUCUUCGACAACUAUCACCGUUCCAUCCUCUCGAACUCCCUCCUCACCCUUUCUGUCCCUUCCUCCUAUCCCAUUCUCCAUCAGGGCUCGCAACCCCAUUCUCCCCACGACACACCGACAAACCUCUGUCCCCAUUGAUCUCCGGAUUUGUGGCAUUUUCCAGCCCGUGACGUUCUUCUCCACCCCCUACUGCCUCGCCCUUUCUCCGCCGGCUCUUUGUCCUCUCCCGGUGCCAACUCUUUCCCACUUUUUGCUCCUUCUAUACCCUCUUUCUACCCCUCUCUCUGCCUUCCCUCUCCGUCUCUCUGUACUCUCAGUGUUCAUAAUGUUCUCUUUCUCCUUUCCACUCACUCUCACGUCAAUCCUGUGCGGUCUGGAGCUCGAUAGCCCAACCCUGGAUGAACGUUUGUGCCUAUUUCCUCUGUCUGUGCCUCUCUUGGGUUUAUGGAACUCUGUAAGGUUACAAAACUGAUCCAGGGAGUAAUGUCCCAAACUCCCUCCCUCUCUGCAUAACCCUCAAUUUCCUGCGAUGUACAUUUUUCCAGUUCAGUGGCAUUU